rnacentral:rRNA from 1 species
GACGAACGCUGGCGGCGUGCUUAACACAUGCAAGUCGAACGGAAAGGCCCUGCUUUUGUGGGGUGCUCGAGUGGCGAACGGGUGAGUAACACGUGAGUAACCUGCCCUUGACUUUGGGAUAACUUCAGGAAACUGGGGCUAAUACCGGAUAGGAGCUCCUGCUGCAUGGUGGGGGUUGGAAAGUUUCGGCGGUUGGGGAUGGACUCGCGGCUUAUCAGCUUGUUGGUGGGGUAGUGGCUUACCAAGGCUUUGACGGGUAGCCGGCCUGAGAGGGUGACCGGGACAAUUGGGGAAGGGAGAACGGCCAGAGACUCCCGGGGGGAGCAGGGGGGGGAAAUUUUGCAAAGGGGGGGGAAGCUUGACGGAACACCCCCGUGGGGGAGAGGGGCCUCUGGGGGUUAAACACCUUUCGCCGGUGAAGAAAGGGGUGGGAGAGGAAAGGGGGAAAAAGCACCGCGUAACUCAGC